rnacentral:misc_RNA from 1 species
AUGAUUCAGCAUAGACAAAUAUUUGGGAUUCCUGAACUUCAUAUUACUUGCAUCCUUGGUAGCAUUCUCUGCCUGGUUCUGAAAGUAAAACUUCUGCAGUUUAAGGUUGUCCCGUUGCCUCAAAACUGGCACAUAUGAAGAAUUCAAAAAACUAAAAUCCUCCACCGCCUUAACCUCUACAUGUGCACCUCCCUCAAUAGGCCUCAUCCUGAACCACACCUUCAUGGCUGCCACAUUCAUUCUGUCAGUAACAACAUGGAAAACAUGUUUCCAAGGUUCCUCUGCAUUCUUCACCACUGACCUCACCACGACAGACACUGCAAUCACGUUAUCUGAAAAUAUGGCAUAAUGAUAGAGACUUGGAUCCUCAAACUCUGGCUUAGGCUCCUCGUCCCGAUAUUUCUCUGGAUGUGAAAUCCUCUCCUCCACAAGCCUCAUUGCUAAGCAAUGCAAACUCUUGGGUAUUGAUUUCGCAGAAAUCAAGCUAGCGAAAGCGCCAUUCUUCCUGGCCUUGAUCAGCAAUUCAUUCACCGCAAAGAUAGUAUCCUUGAGCUUCUGAAUCUUGAUUUGAUUAUCAUAGCUCUCCUUCGACUCAGCUACCAUCAACCUUGCAAUUUUCACCCUUUCCUUCACCUCCUUCUCAAACUGCCUCAAAACAUCCUCAUCCACUACACCCUCCGAUUCAAACAAGGAAGACUUGUAAUUGGGUUUGGAUACGAGGUCGGAGAAAUUCUUAGCCAAGUCAUCAAACAUUCUCAAUUGCCUAGAGAUGUCAAGCUUAAGCUUUCUGGCAUAGGCCGCGUAAGCAUUCACUAGGGUCAUAUGGUCACUAGCUUGUUUGUAUAUCAAAUCUAAUCGGGUUCUCAACGGAUCAGAGUUUAAUGCCAAAAACGUCCGCUGCACAUAAGCAUUGCCGCUACUCGGCAGUGACUGUUAAAACCCAAACCCCCCAAAACAACACAUAUAAAAAAAAUCAAUAAUUCCAAAUUCAUAUUGAAGUUGAUAUUAUAAUUAAAUUUCUAUAAAGCAAGCAUUUGAUGGAGGCAAAUUUAGUAGUGUUCACUUACAGAGUCGUGAGGAGAGGUAGGGGGAUGGGUGGUGAGGAGCACAGAUAGAGUAGCGAGGAAAAGAAGAGUGAACAUUGAUGAGACCAAAAUCCGAUAAGAGAAGAAGCUGCGAAGGCCAGCGUUGAAUCCGGUGGAUCCUCCUCCUCGGCUACCACGGACGGCUACCGCCAUUGCAAAUUUGACGAUCUGGGUAUCUUCUCUUCUUGGACGUAGAAAUGUAAUCUGUAAGUGUGAACAAGUGGAUCGAUUUUUUUUCUUAUUGAAGCUAAGCGAUAGCUGAAGCUAAAGAAGGCAGGAAGGAGAUGUACAGAUCUAAAAUGGAACGAUUUCGGCGUCGGUGAGAUUAUUUAAUUCUGAGAAUGGGAAAGAAAGGUUUGGGCAAAUGUUAAUUUGGAUUUGGA